UCCUCCCUCUUUCUUCGUGCUUAACACAUGCAAGUCGAACGGUGAAGCGCCUUCCUUUUUGGUGGGUGUGGAUGAGUGGCGAACGGGUGAGUAACACGUGAGUAACCUGCCCCCUUCUUCUGGAUAACCGCAUGAAAGUGUGGCUAAUACGGGAUAUUCUGGGUCUGUCGCAUGAUGGGUCUGGGACAGAUAUUGUUUCGGUGGGGGAUGGGCGCGCGGCCUAUCAGCUUGUUGGUGGGGUGAUGGCCUACCAAGGCGGUGACGGGUAGCCGGCCUGAGAGGGUGGACGGUCACACUGGGACUGAGACACGGCCCAGACUCCUACGGGAGGCAGCAGUGGGGAAUAUUGCACAAUGGGCGCAAGCCUGAUGCAGCGACGCCGCGUGAGGGAUGGAGGCCUUCGGGUUGUGAACCUCUUUCGCCAGUGAAGCAGGCCUGCCUCGUUUGUGGGUGGGUUGACGGUAGCUGGAGAAGAAGCGCCGGCUAACUACGUG
rnacentral:rRNA from 1 species